GCCCCCAGUCCCAGCCGGGGGAGAGAGGAGGGAAAUUCCACUCUGUCUAACCUGCUGCUGCUGCUGCUGGUGCUGGAAGUGCUGGGAGUGCUGGGAGUGCUGGGAGUGCUGUUGGUGUAGCUUUGGUGGUGGGAGUCCACAGGACCCUGAGCUGGUCUCCACUUUGAUGCUCUUCAUCCAGGUCCAACUCCAGUUGAGAAACCCUUUCCUGCAAAAUGAAUGAACGUGAGCGUUGGUCUCGGUCUCCGCCUCCAGAUCAUGAACCUGGUUCUCCAGCAUCUUCGCCCGGAGCUCAGCCUCAUCUCUUUCCCUCCGACACUGCCGGAUUUCCUCCUCACGGCGUGACACCUAAAACAAAAUAAUUACACAUUAUUCAAAACAUUAAAAAUAACUUUUUUUACAUCAUUUCUUAUUGAUAAUAAAAAUAACAAUAAUAACUGCUCUUAAUCGUGACACAUUUGAUCCCUGAAGAUCAGUAAAACUCGUUGGGCCUCAGUGUCUCAUUAAAGGACCCGCAGCUUUCUUUAAGUACCACUGCAGUUAUGAUGUAUUAAACCGUGCACUCAUGUUGAACAUCCAUGUCACUGUUAUACAUGACGCCUACUUCAAAUCAAGUCUUAUUAUGUAGUGAUGAUUGACAAUUUAGCUGCUGCUUAGCUAAAUGAUUACAUGGUUCUCCGGAGUGACUAAUGAAUCCAACAUAGCUACUGUACUGUUUACCUCAGCAGCAGAGCCCCCAGAGCUACAAACCUGCCCCCACUCCAUCAUGCUUAUACAAUGAAAAUUAAUCAUCUGGCCUAAUUUCUCGCCCAAACAAAUAUCUGGCCAUUAGCUCGGAAUUAUUACAUAUUUCAUCUUGUAAAUACUUGGGUUAAGCUAAUUUAAGCAACGGAGCUGAAGCAGAGCAUGCAAAGACUUAUUAAUACGUGUAAUGGGAUAAUGGCACAGUCUCCCUCAGGGCCUGGAUAUCCAUGCUUGUAAGAGUUUAAGUGAAUUAAUGUGAUGAUCAUUCAAUGAAAUAGAUUCAGGGAAUGAAAAUUAUUUAUCGCUGUUUUUUUUCUGCCUUCUUGUCCUGAUCUCAACAUC